ACCCGCUGAAUUUAAGCAUAUAACUAAGCGGAGGAAAAGAAACUAACAAGGAUUCCCCUAGUAACGGCGAGUGAAGCGGGAAGAGCUCACGGUGAAAAUCGAGCCUUCGGGCCCGAAUUGUAGUCUGAAGAGGCGAGGCCUGCCACUGUCCGUGGCCAAGUCUGAUUGGAAAUGAGCAUCAUGGAGGGUGACAAUCCCGUUCAUGCCGCGGUAUCGAUCAGUGUGCACAAGGCCCGUUUUCUACGAGUCGAGUUGCUUGGGAUUGCAGCUCAAAGUGGGUGGUAAACUCCAUCGAAAGCUAAAUAUGGGGGGGAGACCGAUAGCGAACAAGUACCGUGAGGGAAAGAUGCAAAGAACUUUGAAAAGAGAGUUAAAGAGUGCCUGAAAUUGCUGGAAGGGAAGCGAAGGAAAGAGGUGAGCGGUAGUCGGAGCGCCAACCCCCAUCUGCCUUCUUAGUGGUGUGGGGGUAGGCCGCUUCGCCGCGGUCAGGGGUAGCGCCUGGGUUGCGUGAGGAUCCUUGAGGGAUCGGUAGCCCUCCUUGUCGUGUUCUUGCGACGGGGAGGGUGUCAGGCCCUCUCGGCACCGCGUCGCGGCUCUCCAGGCCCCCUCUCUCUGGCGGUUGCCGCUUUUCUUCACCCCGUCUUGAAACACGGAA
rnacentral:rRNA from 1 species